rnacentral:rRNA from 1 species
GCCUACGGGGGGCAGCAGUGAGGAAUAUUGGUCAAUGGUCGGGAGACUGAACCAGCCAAGCCGCGUGAGGGAUGAAGGUACAGAGUAUCGUAAACCUCUUUUGUCAGGGAACAAAGGCGGGGACGUGUCCCCGGAUGAGUGUACCUGAAGAAAAAGCAUCGGCUAACUCCGUGCCAGCAGCCGCGGUAAUACGGAGGAUGCGAGCGCUAUCCGGAUUUAUUGGGUUUAAAGGGUGCGCAGGCGGUCUGUUAAGUCAGCGGUCAAAGCCCGGGGCUCAACCCCGGUCCGCCGUUGAAACUGGCAGG